GGAGGUUCCUGCUGUGAGAUGCCAGCCUAGGGAGACCCAGGGAGGGCUGUGAGGGGCAGAGGUGACCAUGGCAGAGCUGAGCAGCCACAUCCAGCAGCAGCAGCAGGAGAUGGAGUCCUAUCAGUCCCGGGGCCAGAGAGAAGCAGUAGGGCUGGAGCCACAGCAUGGGGGGGCCCAGACACGCCAGGACUCACAGCAGCAGAACACUCCAGCCUUCCUACAGAUGCUGCAGGUGGACUUGGACAUCUGCAGGGACAUGAACAGCAUGCGGCUGGCCCAGCUGCAUCUGCAGCAGCGCGUGGUGGAGCAGAAGCACCAGGACUUGAUCUCUCAGAAGCAUCAUUACCAGGCAAUGAUGGAGCAGGACCAGAAGGACACAGUUCAGAUAGAGGCCACCUCUGCAGAUUCCUGUAGUAGUUCCAGUGCAAGCGAUGAUCUCCUGGAGGAGUACACAGAGCAACUGGAGCAGGUGGCCACGCAAGCAGGCAGAGAGCACUGCAUGCAGAGGGAAGCCCAGGAGCAUCAGUGCUGGGCACAGGACAUGUCAUCAACAGGACACAGCACUGCUAAAGAAGAAGCCCAGGGCAGGAGGAGACAGUGCCAGCGAGCAAGCCUGUCUCGAGCGGCCCAGGUCCCAGCACGGUCACUGGCAGCCCAGAGCCGCCUACAGCACAAGGAGGAACAGCUGCAGCCACGUGCAGGGAGCACCAUGCAGUGCACAGAGGAACAGCCAUGUUCUUGUGCAAGGAGCAGUAUGCAGCACACAGCUGAUGGCAACGAAGUGGAGCCACGAGCACAGCAGGAGGUAGCAGAAAGCAGGGAGAUGGCAGUGUGGCUCCAGAUGGAGUUGAGCCGGUGGCAGCAGAAGCAGCAGGUGACUCUGGAACAGUCACUGCAAUACAUGCAUGCUGCUGCCCGUGCCAAACAGGAGCUACAAAAGAGCCAAGAGCAACUCCAAGCCCUGAAGAACCAGCUGAAGGCUCAGAAGGAGCAGAACCGGACCCUGCAGCACAGCCUGGAAAAGCAGCAAGAGGUGCUGGCAGCCACCAAGGCCCGGGAGAUGCAAAGUUUGCAGCAGCUCAGUAGACACAAGCAGACAAUCCACGACCUACAGCAGAAAGCAGCCUCGAGCAGAAAGAAGAUGGCAGAGCUGCUAGAGCAGGUGGAGGACGUGGCAUCCCUGAAGGCAGAGCUGGCCCAAGCCCAGAGAAAGAUAGGCCACAAUCUUCCACUCCUUUGUCGUUAUGAGAAAGAGAGGCAGCAGCUCCACAGGGAGCUCAAGGAGCAACAGAGGGCCCAGGUGCAGAGCCAGCAGGAGGCCCGCUCCUUCCAGGAGAAGCUGCAAAAGCUGAGCAGCCAAGUUCGGUACUGGCAGGAGUUACACCAGGACACUCAGCGAACUCUGGCUAGACGGGAAGAUGAGCUGUCUGUCUGCAACGCGGAGAUGGAUUUCAAGGAAGAAUUCAUCAAGGCCAUGAGACAGGCUCAGGCCAGGAACAGGCAGAACCACAGCCCAAGGACAGGAGGAGUGCAACCUGAGCCCCAGGCACCACUGAAGGACAGAUCCUGGCCUACAGGCAGGGCAGAGGCGGAAAGGCCGGGCCAGGAGUGGGCUAACUGCAGAGCCAGCACCAACAAGGGAGGAGGCGGUGGCGGUGGGUCUGUAAAAACCCUGCAUGCUUCCCACACCCCAGCCUGUUCUAAUAGCAGUAGGCUGCACCAGGACAGGAAUCUGAUGCUGAUCAAUAAUAGCCAGAGUGUGAAAGAGCAGAUGCAGUCAAAUGAGAAACACCACAAGAUCCAGCAGCAAGUCAAGCAGGCUGCAGAGUUCACAGGCGAAAACCAACAUCUUCAAGACACACUGGACAGCUUGCACGUGGAAAACACAUACUUCAGGGCUAGAACACAUGUACAGUACCACAAUCAUGAGCAGAUGAAGGCUCUACAGGGCAACAACCUGACUGCACGAGCCCUUCAGAACUUGGCAGGGCUGUCUCUGCCUGGAACUCACUCCAGGAUGAGAAGUGACACAAAACAACGGGAGGGUUAAAGACUGACAACCUUUAAACAAAUAAAAUUAUUUCUCUUCUGUAGCAAAAAUAGUACAGAGCAUCAAAGCCUUCUUGGGCCACAGGCUGUAGAGAGCCUCACAGCAGUCAGAGGAACUGAGCCCUAAAACUCAGCAGCUCCUGGGAAGUCUUUAUGUCUCG
rnacentral:lncRNA from 1 species